rnacentral:rRNA from 1 species
GGUUAAGCGACUAAGCGUACACGGUGGAUGCCCUGGCAGUCAGAGGCGAUGAAGGACGUGCUAAUCUGCGAUAAGCGUCGGUAAGGUGAUAUGAACCGUUAUAACCGGCGAUUUCCGAAUGGGGAAACCCAGUGUGAUUCGUCACACUAUCAUUAACUGAAUCCAUAGGUUAAUGAGGCGAACCGGGGGAACUGAAACAUCUAAGUACCCCGAGGAAAAGAAAUCAACCGAGAUUCCCCCAGUAGCGGCGAGCGAACGGGGAGCAGCCCAGAGCCUGAAUCAGUGUGUGUGUUAGUGGAAGCGUCUGGAAAGGCGCGCGAUACAGGGUGACAGCCCCGUACACAAAAAUGCACAUGCUGUGAGCUCGAUGAGUAGGGCGGGACACGUGGUAUCCUGUCUGAAUAUGGGGGGACCAUCCUCCAAGGCUAAAUACUCCUGACUGACCGAUAGUGAACCAGUACCGUGAGGGAAAGGCGAAAAGAACCCCGGCGAGGGGAGUGAAAAAGAACCUGAAACCGUGUACGUACAAGCAGUGGGAGCACGCUUAGGCGUGUGACUGCGUACCUUUUGUAUAAUGGGUCAGCGACUUAUAUUCUGUAGCAAGGUUAACCGAAUAGGGGAGCCGAAGGGAAACCGAGUCUUAACUGGGCGUUAAGUUGCAGGGUAUAGACCCGAAACCCGGUGAUCUAGCCAUGGGCAGGUUGAAGGUUGGGUAACACUAACUGGAGGACCGAACCGACUAAUGUUGAAAAAUUAGCGGAUGACUUGUGGCUGGGGGUGAAAGGCCAAUCAAACCGGGAGAUAGCUGGUUCUCCCCGAAAGCUAUUUAGGUAGCGCCUCGUGAAUUCAUCUCCGGGGGUAGAGCACUGUUUCGGCAAGGGGGUCAUCCCGACUUACCAACCCGAUGCAAACUGCGAAUACCGGAGAAUGUUAUCACGGGAGACACACGGCGGGUGCUAACGUCCGUCGUGAAGAGGGAAACAACCCAGACCGCCAGCUAAGGUCCCAAAGUCAUGGUUAAGUGGGAAACGAUGUGGGAAGGCCCAGACAGCCAGGAUGUUGGCUUAGAAGCAGCCAUCAUUUAAAGAAAGCGUAAUAGCUCACUGGUCGAGUCGGCCUGCGCGGAAGAUGUAACGGGGCUAAACCAUGCACCGAAGCUGCGGCAGCGACGCUUAUGCGUUGUUGGGUAGGGGAGCGUUCUGUAAGCCUGUGAAGGUGUACUGUGAGGUAUGCUGGAGGUAUCAGAAGUGCGAAUGCUGACAUAAGUAACGAUAAAGCGGGUGAAAAGCCCGCUCGCCGGAAGACCAAGGGUUCCUGUCCAACGUUAAUCGGGGCAGGGUGAGUCGACCCCUAAGGCGAGGCCGAAAGGCGUAGUCGAUGGGAAACAGGUUAAUAUUCCUGUACUUGGUGUUACUGCGAAGGGGGGACGGAGAAGGCUAUGUUGGCCGGGCGACGGUUGUCCCGGUUUAAGCGUGUAGGCUGGUUUUCCAGGCAAAUCCGGAAAAUCAAGGCUGAGGCGUGAUGACGAGGCACUACGGUGCUGAAGCAACAAAUGCCCUGCUUCCAGGAAAAGCCUCUAAGCAUCAGGUAACAUCAAAUCGUACCCCAAACCGACACAGGUGGUCAGGUAGAGAAUACCAAGGCGCUUGAGAGAACUCGGGUGAAGGAACUAGGCAAAAUGGUGCCGUAACUUCGGGAGAAGGCACGCUGAUAUGUAGGUGAAGUCCCUCGCGGAUGGAGCUGAAAUCAGUCGAAGAUACCAGCUGGCUGCAACUGUUUAUUAAAAACACAGCACUGUGCAAACACGAAAGUGGACGUAUACGGUGUGACGCCUGCCCGGUGCCGGAAGGUUAAUUGAUGGGGUCAGCGCAAGCGAAGCUCUUGAUCGAAGCCCCGGUAAACGGCGGCCGUAACUAUAACGGUCCUAAGGUAGCGAAAUUCCUUGUCGGGUAAGUUCCGACCUGCACGAAUGGCGUAAUGAUGGCCAGGCUGUCUCCACCCGAGACUCAGUGAAAUUGAACUCGCUGUGAAGAUGCAGUGUACCCGCGGCAAGACGGAAAGACCCCGUGAACCUUUACUAUAGCUUGACACUGAACAUUGAGCCUUGAUGUGUAGGAUAGGUGGGAGGCUUUGAAGUGUGGACGCCAGUCUGCAUGGAGCCGACCUUGAAAUACCACCCUUUAAUGUUUGAUGUUCUAACGUGGACCCGUAAUCCGGGUUGCGGACAGUGUCUGGUGGGUAGUUUGACUGGGGCGGUCUCCUCCUAAAGAGUAACGGAGGAGCACGAAGGUUGGCUAAUCCUGGUCGGACAUCAGGAGGUUAGUGCAAUGGCAUAAGCCAGCUUGACUGCGAGCGUGACGGCGCGAGCAGGUGCGAAAGCAGGUCAUAGUGAUCCGGUGGUUCUGAAUGGAAGGGCCAUCGCUCAACGGAUAAAAGGUACUCCGGGGAUAACAGGCUGAUACCGCCCAAGAGUUCAUAUCGACGGCGGUGUUUGGCACCUCGAUGUCGGCUCAUCACAUCCUGGGGCUGAAGUAGGUCCCAAGGGUAUGGCUGUUCGCCAUUUAAAGUGGUACGCGAGCUGGGUUUAGAACGUCGUGAGACAGUUCGGUCCCUAUCUGCCGUGGGCGCUGGAGAACUGAGGGGGGCUGCUCCUAGUACGAGAGGACCGGAGUGGACGCAUCACUGGUGUUCGGGUUGUCAUGCCAAUGGCACUGCCCGGUAGCUAAAUGCGGAAGAGAUAAGUGCUGAAAGCAUCUAAGCACGAAACUUGCCCCGAGAUGAGUUCUCCCUGACCCUUUAAGGGUCCUGAAGGAACGUUGAAGACGACGACGUUGAUAGGCCGGGUGUGUAAGCGCAGCGAUGCGUUGAGCUAACCGGUACUAAUGAACCGUGAGGCUUAACCUU